UCUCAAGCCAUAACCAGAACUUAAAUAUGUGAUUGUACAAGAUUGUUAUAAGCAAGAGCCUAUGGGUGACUUCAAAGGUUCUCAAUAGCAAUUUGAAGCAUUCCUAUAUAUGUACCAGGAAUGCUUCCCAAAGAGCUAUUUGGUACCAAAUCAAAAAAAGAAUUCUGCAAGGUAGGGUCUAGCAGAGUAAAAAAGAAUAAGGCAGCACAGGAGGGAUCUCUAAGAUUAAAGGAAGCAUCUUUAGUAAAUUGAAGUUCCAUUAUUGUCAGUAGAAGUUAAAGAAUAUGUGUUUUCUAACAUAAAACAAGAUUUUGACUUCUUGUGACAUCAGUAAUCUCAUACAUAUAUUGAAUCAAAAAAGAAAAUGAUCAAGUUAAGGAAGUCAUUUUAGGCUCCUUAG
rnacentral:lncRNA from 1 species